rnacentral:rRNA from 1 species
CCUUUAAAGAAAGCGUAAUAGCUCACUAGUCGAGUCGGCCUGCGCGGAAGAUGUAACGGGGCUCAAACUGGAUACCGAAGCUGCGGCUGCAUACUAUGUAUGCGGGGUAGGGGAGCGUUGUGUAAGUCUGUGAAGGUGUGUUGAGAAGCAUGCUGGAGAUAUCACAAGUGCGAAUGCUGACGUGAGUAACGAUAAUGGGAGUGAAAAACUCCCACGCCGAAAGACCAAGGUUUCCUGCGCAACGCUAAUCGGCGCAGGGUGAGUCGGCCCCUAAGGCGAGGCAGAAAUGCGUAGCUGAUGGGAAACAGGUUAAUAUUCCUGUACUUCUUAUAACUGCGAUGGAGAGACGGAGAAGGCUAUGCCUACCGGGCGUUGGUUGUCCCGGGGAAAGGCUGUAGGCUGAGGUGUUAGGCAAAUCCGGCACCUUAAGGCUGAGAGUCGAGACCACUGGUCCUUUGUGACCGGGAAGUGGUUGAUGCCAUGCUUCCAGGAAAAUCUUCUAAGCUUCAGGUUAUAAGGAACCGUACCCCAAACCGACACAGGUGGUUGGGAUGAGUAUUCUAAGGCGCUUGAGAGAACUCGGGUGAAGGAACUAGGCAAAGUGGUACCGUAACUUCGGGAGAAGGUACGCCGCUGACGGUGAUGAGACUUGCUCUCUGAGCUAUCGGCGGUCGCAGUGAAAAGGCCCCUGCAACUGUUUAUUAAAAACACAGCACUCUGCAAACGCGUAAGCGGACGUAUAGGGUGUGACGCCUGCCCGGUGCCGGAAGGUUAAUUGAUGGGGUUAGCUUCGGCGAAGCUCUUGAUCGAAGCCCCGGUAAACGGCGGCCGUAACUAUAACGGUCCUAAGGUAGCGAAAUUCCUUGUCGGGUAAGUUCCGACCUGCACGAAUGGCGUAAUGAUGGGGGCGCUGUCUCCACCCGAGACUCAGUGAAAUCGAAAUCGCAGUGAAGAUGCUGUGUACCCGCGGCUAGACGGAAAGACCCCGUGAACCUUUACUAUAGCUUCACAGUGGACUUUGAACCUGUUUGUGUAGGAUAGCUGGGAGACUUUGAAGCAGUGACGCUAGUCAUUGUGGAGUCGUCCUUGAAAUACCAGCCUGGCAUGUUUGAGGUUCUAACCUGGGUCCCUUAUCGGGAUCGGGGACAUUGUGUGGUGGGUAGUUUGACUGGGGCGGUCUCCUCCCAAAGAGUAACGGAGGAGCACAAAGGUACCCUCAGCACGGUCGGACAUCGUGCAACGAGCGUAAAGGUAGAAGGGUGCUUGACUGCGAGACUUACAAGUCGAGCAGGUGCGAAAGCAGGUCUUAGUGAUCCGGUGGUUCUGUAUGGAAGGGCCAUCGCUCAACGGAUAAAAGGUACUCCGGGGAUAACAGGCUGAUACCGCCCAAGAGUUCAUAUCGACGGCGGUGUUUGGCACCUCGAUGUCGGCUCAUCACAUCCUGGGGCUGAAGUCGGUCCCAAGGGUAUGGCUGUUCGCCAUUUAAAGUGGUACGCGAGCUGGGUUUAGAACGUCGUGAGACAGUUCGGUCCCUAUCUGCCGUGGGCGUUGGAGAUUUGAGAGGAGCUGCUCCUAGUACGAGAGGACCGGAGUGGACGAACCUCUGGUGUUCCGGUUGUCACGCCAGUGGCAUUGCCGGGUAGCUACGUUCGGACGGGAUAACCGCUGAAAGCAUCUAAGCGGGAAGCCUCCCUCAAGAUGAGAUCUCCCUGGGAACUUGAUUCCCCUGAAGGGCCGUUGAAGACCACAACGUUGAUAGGCUGGGUGUGGAAGCGUUGUAAGGCGUGAAGCUAACCAGUACUAAUUGCCCGUGAGGCUUGACUAU